GUUGACAGUGAGCUGGGCCCUCCCAUAUCAAUCAUCAAUAAAGAAAAUGCUCCACAGGCCUACCCACAGGUCAAUCUAGUGAGGGCAUUUUUCCCAGUUUACAUUCCCUGUUCCUAGAUGACUCUAACUUGUGUCAAGUUGACAUAAAAUGAACCAUCACAGAAAGGAAAGAUGUCCUCAUUCUACUCUCUGGAAGUGUGAGGCCGAAAUUAAAUGCUUUCUUUUAUAGGUCGCCUUGGUCAUGGUGCUUUGUCACAGCAAUUGAAAAGUAAUGAAGACAACUGUGAUAUGGAAGUGUAAGCUAAAAUACCUCCACUCCAAGUUGCUUAUGACCAUGACGUUUUACCAUAGCAAUAGAAACCCUAACUAAGACAUUUUCCUCUCUUCUCCACCAGCAGAGUUCAUCACCUACAAGAGACACAAAUUUCCAACUUAACCUUUCCAACUUCUUCUGCCACAGAUGUGGCCAUGUAGUUCUCCUGCUCUGGCUAAUAAGAUAUGAAGAGAGAGCUCAAGGGACUUUCUGUCAAGAAUAUUAAACAGCUGAGAAGCUGAAUGGGAACAGAUCUCAUUGGUGGUGCACCUUAGCUGGAAGAAAUGAGGAUGGGAGAGGUUCCAAUGGAAUAGAAGGAUCUAGAAGCCAUACAGAUCCAGGUAUAUUUCUUAGC
rnacentral:lncRNA from 1 species